rnacentral:lncRNA from 1 species
UUGAAGACUGUCUGUGGCACAUCUCGUUCUCUGUUUUAUUGCUAUUGGUAUUUUUCAUUGGAUAAUGGCAGAAUUAGAGAUCAAUGGAGGAGAGGACCAGAGAAGAAAAACUUCAUCAUCUAAAUGUUAAGGAUGGAGCAGUCAAAAAAUUGUGCCACUUCCCACUGCCUGGAAUGUGUUCCUUUUCACUUCCAGCCUUUCCAGCCGCACUGAUGCUGCUGUCCGACAGCCCCAACACUCACUGCAUGCCACUCGCAGUGAAGGACGGCUGGAGGUCCGCAUCAUCUCUGUGCUCAGAGGAUGACUCUGAAGAAGGGGGGAAAUUUCACACCGAAUGCUUGCUAGCUCUCAAGGCGUACCAUGAAAGGAAACGGGACCAGUUUCUGCGUGUUGCACUGAUUUUCAGAAUUUUCUGAAAUCGGGACUAAUUGCCGAACUGUUUCGGUGUUAGGAAAAGGCACAAAAACGUUCCAAACUGCAAAGGGAGACCGCACGGAGCGACGAGGAGCAGCGCAGCCGCGGCUCUUUGCGCAGAGCAGCUCCUGCGUCGCCUCCCGCGCCCAGCAGAGGGUGUGAGAAAGGACAGAGCCGAAACCUCCGAUCUUGGAUCCGGUUUGCUGGUCAGGAUGAGGAACCGCGGUUGGGAAGGGGCUGCGCAGGGUGCAGUGCCCUUGCCCGGAGGUGCUCCACAGCCGUGGAGAUGCGGCACUUGGGGACGUGGGCUGUGCUUGGAGCUCUCAAAGGUUUUCUCCAACCCAAAGGAUCGCACAGUUCUGUUCUGCGAUCUGCUCAGCGCAGAAGAGCCCAAUGCACUUGAAGCCUGUGCCACCCUGCGCUGAGGGACGUGCUUUAGUGCAAAUGUUCCCACCGCACGCCCGCUUUGCCCUUGCCGAGGGAGCGCGUUAAGUGCAUGGGACCCGAAGCCAGCCCUGCCGCACCCCAUCCGCGCGGUUCCGUGGGGAAACUUCAUCUUUCAUCCUGUUAGGACUCCGCUGUAGGAAAGCUGCGACUUCCUAAGGCUGAGAUAAACUAAAAUAAACAUGAUUCAAUCGAGGAGACUCA